rnacentral:lncRNA from 1 species
AGUGGUAAAUGACAUGGCACUGAUGUGACACUGAUUUGGCAAUGACGUGGCGCGUGUGUAGCGCACUCUCCGUCGUGAGAGUGGUAUUCAGUUUUGAGGAGUGAAAAUAAUUCACUUUAAAGAUGUUAAGAGGGUAAAUAAACGGAAAUUAAGUUUAAGUGCUAAAGUGAGUUGUGGCGACAAGUUCGGAAGAAAAAAGAUGCCUUUUCUCAAAUAUUUACUACUCCCUUCAUUUCAUUUUAUCUAACAUUUUUUUAUUUUUUAAAUAUCAUGUCAAGUUAAAAAAUAUCACAUAAAAUAAAACUGAUAAGUAUAAAAGUAAAGAAAGAAUAGAAGAGUUGAAGAAAAGUGAAGAUGAAAUUAUUCUGAUGCAAAUAUUUAUAGAGAGAUAUAAGGGGAUCUAGAAGACAAACGUAAGAAAUAAUGACAUAUAACUAAGCAAAUUGGAGUGGCUUGGAUUUCUUUUUUAGGACAAGAAAAUCGUAGGAAGUAUUACUAAG